CCUACGGGCGGCAGCAGUGGGGAAUAUUGCACAAUGGGGGAAACCCUGAUGCAGCGACGCCGCGUGAGUGAAGAAGUAUUUCGGUAUGUAAAGCUCUGUCAGCAGGGAAGAAAAUGACGGUACCUGACCAAGAAGCCCCGGCUAACUACGUGCCAGCAGCCGCGGUAAUACGUAGGGGGCAAGCGUUAUCCGGAUUUACUGGGUGUAAAGGGAGCGUAGACGGCAGGGCAAGUCUGGAGUGAAAGGCGGGGGCUCAACCCCCGGAGUGCACUGGAAACUGGCAGGCUGGAGUGCAGGAGAGGUAAGUGGAAUUCGUAGUGUAGCGGUGAAAUGCGUAGAUAUUAGGAGGAACACCGGUGGCGAAGGCGGCUUACUGGACUGUAACUGACGUUGAGGCUCGAAAGCGUGGGGAGCAAACAGGAUUAGAUACCCUUGUAGUC
rnacentral:rRNA from 1 species